rnacentral:rRNA from 1 species
UACGGGGGGGGCAAGCGUUGUUCGGAAUUACUGGGCGUAAAGGGCUCGUAGGCGGUCAGCUAAGUCAGACGUGAAAUCCCUCGGCUUAACCGGGGAACUGCGUCUGAUACUGGAUGGCUUGAGAUUGGGAGAGGGAUGCGGAAUUCCAGGUGUAGCGGUGAAAUGCGUAGAUAUCUGGAGGAACACCGGUGGCGAAGGCGGCAUCCUGGACCAGCACUGACGCUGAGGAGCGAAAGCGAGGGGAGCAAACGGG